rnacentral:rRNA from 1 species
CGGUAAUUCCAGCUCCAAUAGCGUAUACUAAAGUUGUUGCAGUUAAAAAGCUCGUAGUUGGAUUUCUGCGGGGACGGAGCGGCCGGACGCAACUUACGUCUCGAGCCGGCGCUUUCCCCACAUCCUGCCGCGAACCGUGCUACCAUUAGUUUGGUGGCGCUGGGGAUCGGCUCGAUUACUUUGAGAAAAAUAGAGUGUUCAAAGCAGGCCACACGCCUUGAAUAAGUUAGCAUGGAAUAAUGACUAAGGACUUUGGUUCUUUUCGUUGGUGUUCGGGACUGAAGUAAUGAUUGAUAGGGACAGUUGGGGCGGUCCGUAUUCCAAAGCGAGAGGUGAAAUUCUUAGACCUUCGGAAGACGAACAGCUGCGAAAGCGUUCCGCAAGGAUGUCCCCUUUGAUCAAGAACGAAAGUUGGGGGAUCGAAGACGAUCAGAUACCGUCGUAGUCUCAACUAUAAACUAUACCAGCUAGGGAUCGGCCAACGUUUAAUUAUUCGACUUGGUCGGCACCUUAUGAGAAAUCAAAGCAUCUGGGUUCCGGGGGGAGUAUGGUCGCAAGGCUGAAACUUAAAGGAAUUGACGGAAGGGCACCACCAGGCGUGGAGCCUGUGGCUUAAUUUGACUCAACACGGGAAAACUUACCAGGUCCAGACAUAGGAAGGAUUGACAGAUUGAUAGCUCUUUCUUGAUUCUGUGGGUGGUGGUGCAUGGCCGUUUUUAGUCGGUGAAGUGAUUUGUCUGCUUAAUUGCGUUAACGGACGAGACCCCAGCCUGCUAAAUAGCGCGGUCGAGCUUUGCUCGGCACGAGCUUCUUAGAGGGACCAUGAUGCGCGAUAGCACAAGGAAGUUUGGGGCAACAACAGGUCUGUGAUGCCCUUAGAUGUUCUGGGCCGCACACGGGCUACACUGGCGCCUGCAACGAGCAUAUCAGCUGGCCCGAGAGGGUCUUGGCUAAUCUUUGGAACCGGCGCCGUGCUUGGGAUUGACCAUUGCAAUUGUUGGUCAUGCAACGAGGAAUGCCUUGUAAACGCGAGUCAUCAGCUCGCAUUGAAUACGUCCCUGCUCUUUGUACACACCGCCC